AAGUUCACAUUAUUUUGUUAUAGAAAGGGAAAAAAGUGAAUAGAUGGAACCAAACAUCAAUGCUAAUACUCACCUUUGAUUAGCAACUCCUUGCGUAUUCUGGAUUGUGACCUGACUCGAUAGUUUCAUAUACGAAGAAUCUCAUCAGAGUUGAGAGUCUGAAGGGGCAGAGACACAGUCAGCGGUUCAGUAGCCUCUUCAUAGUCUGCAAAGUUAAUUGAAGCUUCUCCCAGAAUACCUGUUUUGGAUGAUCCCUGCCAGAGGAUAAAAUUUGGAAACAGCUCAACAGAAAUCCAAUCAAAAAAUGAAGAACAGAGUGAGAAGUUGGGAUAAUUCUUACAGUUGAAACAAUGAAACGGUUCCUUCCCUGACUGCAGCUUUCUCCAACCUCACAGUUGGCUUCCCAACAUCCUCUGGAAUCAAAGAUAUCAUCAAGAGAUUUCCUCGUGACUCUGGCACCUGAAAAUGAUGCAAGGUAUUCAGGUAUAAAACCAGGCUACUUACUGAUGGAGAAAUUUUGGACCCACUGCACGGAAAUGGGCCACUCAUGGACCCUGAAUUUGGCCCAUUACAUUCAGUAGUCCCACCUACUGUUGGACGCUUUAAUUUGGGACCACAACACAAGCGGCCCAUCAUCGUUUGCGGCCUUGAUAGUACAAAAGUGAGUGGUUCUGCAAUCUACACAUUUACAAGUAUCCGGGGUUAAGGCUCAUUUGGAUAGCUUUUGUUUUUCCUUCACCUAUGCCCAAACUCAUCAUUUUCAAAUAAGCAAAAUUUGAUUUUUUUUUU